ensembl:lncRNA
GGCUGUGCUGCAACAACUCAGAGAGAGAGAGAGACAGACAGGGCUACAGACAGGGCUGUGCUGCAACAACUCAGAGAGAGAGAGAGAGCGAGAGAGAGAGAGAGAGAGAGAGAGAGAGAGAGAGAGAGAGAGACAUGGCUGUGCUGCAACAACUCAGAGUGAGAGAGAGAGACUUUUCUCUCGACCUCUUUUCUCUCCGCAUCUUUCUCUCCCACGCUCCCGAGUAGAGGGCAGACUCUUCAGCUACCUGGGACCCUCCACUACUCCCCAGCUGCAGGGAGGUCAUAGAUGGAUUGUGAUGACCUCAU